rnacentral:lncRNA from 1 species
ACAUUAGUUUCCGUUUGUUUUUUUAACUUAGGGUUGGCUGGAAAACAGCAUUGCUUUUAAUAAAAAAAAAAAAAAAUGGAGGUUUCAACAUUUGCUUUCUUUCAGCUUAGGGAUGAAAUUGAAACUGCUGAACAAAAUCAGUGACCCCCCUCCGCAAGCCACCCGAAUCAGCCCUCCAGCCGGCUCGAGCUGUUUGGUCAAAAACUAUCAGCUGAGGUAGGACCGUCACAUAGGAAGAUGAUGAACUCCAGCACCUUAUAAAUCUGAAACUAAAGCAGUACCGAAAAAAGAGAAAGUGCGGUGAACGUCCUUUUAGUGCCUCUUUCUGUUCUUCAGGGAUGAAAUUCUCUCUUCUCUACCAUUUAUAGGCAGCGGGAGUAACUCUGACGGCCCGCCGAGCCUCGGGCUCCAGCGUGGCGGCCGUCCCUCUGGCCGGGAUGGGCAGGGCAGGCUCCCAGCUCUUCUCCCCCAGCCUUAUCACCGGAGCUGGGCUAGCUCUCCAAAACAUAUUUUAUUUACACUUCAGUCUUCAACUGCACAUCAGAGAGCCUCUCACUACAUCUGGGCUGCUUCAGCCACUGCAGUCCAUCAAACGUUUAAGAAGGCACAGAAAGAUAAGAAAUUAUGUGGGCGAGAUGCUGGUCUGGGAGCCUGGAGGCCUUGGGAGCGCUCCAGCCUCAGCCGCCGGGUCUGGAUCGGAUGCCACCUUCGGAUUCAAAUACAAACAACAACGACGACGACAAAUGGAAGGUUGCUCAGAGAACAGAGAAAAUCCUGCACUUUAUCACCAGUUUAAAUCCACCGGAGAAGGGAAGCUGUCUCUGAGGAGGUGACGUUUGGUUUCCUGUGCAUCUGCCAUCUGGCGUACCUGCCAUAGCCAGGCCCGUACGCGCGGCACUGCUGAAUUCGGAAGCAGUAUGGCCCACACAGUGCAGCGCUCCAUAGCAAUGUGCUUUUUUUUUAAGGAGGAACACUAGAAGCACUUCAGGUUUUUCAUUCUAAGAGUUAUUUUAAUAAAUAACUUUCAAUCUCUUUGUCUUUUGGGUAU